rnacentral:lncRNA from 1 species
GUUCAAGCGAUUCUUCCUGCCUCAGCCUCCUGAGUAGCUGGGACUACACCAUGCCUGGCUAUAAAUGCAUUUUCUUAGUAUUAUGUUUCAUACACUUUGUACUAGUCCAGAGGUUAAUUGACCCCCUCUCUCAGUGCAAUUAUUUUGACACCAAAUUUAGAGUCUUAAAUUUAUAGAUUUAUGACUACUCUGUGCAUUUAUGUAAAGAUUCAGUCUUAAAUCUGUAGCUUUGCAGCAAAUUUGUAAAGGCAGGGAAAGGGUAAUUAUCAUCUUAUCAUGUCCAAUAUGCUUAGGAGAUUACUACACAUUUGAGAAGGAGUUUUUCUUUAGAUAGAUAUUAUAGAGGAUGAACUCAUUGUUUGAGGGAGAAAAAGACACAGAUGAUAAUCUGCUUAUGUCAGCUCAGGCUGUUAUAAUAAAAUACCAAAUACUGGGUGGCUUAAAAACCAGACAUUUAUUUCUCAAAAUUU